rnacentral:rRNA from 1 species
ACUCCUACGGGAGGCAGCAGUAAGGAAUAUUGGUCAAUGGACGCAAGUCUGAACCAGCCAUGCCGCGUGAAGGAUGAAGGUCCUCUGGAUUGUAAACUUCUUUUAUAGGGGGCGAAAAAGGUUUUCUUAAAUCACUUGACAGUACCCUAUGAAUAAGCACCGGCUAACUCCGUGCCAGCAGCCGCGGUAAUACGGAGGGGUGCAAGCGUUAUCCGGAUUCACUGGGGUUUAAAGGGUGCGUAGGCGGGUAGGUAAGUCAGAGGUGAAAUCCUGGAGCUUAACUCCAGAACUGCCUUUGAUACUAUCUAUCUUGAAUAUGGUGGAGGUAAGCGGAAUAUGUCAUGUAGCGGUGAAAUGCAUAGAUAUGACAUAGAACACCUAUUGCGAAGGCAGCUUACUACGCCUAUAUUGACGCUGAGGCACGAAAGCGUGGGGAUCAAACAGGAUUAGAUACCCUGGUAGGAUAGCG